GAAGGCCCAGACAGCCAGGAUGUUGGCUUAGAAGCAGCCAUCAUUUAAAGAAAGCGUAAUAGCUCACUGGUCGAGUCGGCCUGCGCGGAAGAUGUAACGGGGCUAAACCAUGCACCGAAGCUGCGGCAGCGACGCUUAUGCGUUGUUGGGUAGGGGAGCGUUCUGUAAGCCUGCGAAGGUGUGCUGUGAGGCAUGCUGGAGGUAUCAGAAGUGCGAAUGCUGACAUAAGUAACGAUAAAGCGGGUGAAAAGCCCGCUCGCCGGAAGACCAAGGGUUCCUGUCCAACGUUAAUCGGGGCAGGGUGAGUCGACCCCUAAGGCGAGGCCGAAAGGCGUAGUCGAUGGGAAACAGGUUAAUAUUCCUGUACUUGGUGUUACUGCGAAGGGGGGACGGAGAAGGCUAUGUUGGCCGGGCGACGGUUGUCCCGGUUUAAGCGUGUAGGCUGGUUUUCCAGGCAAAUCCGGAAAAUCAAGGCUGAGGCGUGAUGACGAGGCACUACGGUGCUGAAGCAACAAAUGCCCUGCUUCCAGGAAAAGCCUCUAAGCAUCAGGUAACAUCAAAUCGUACCCCAAACCGACACAGGUGGUCAGGUAGAGAAUACCAAGGCGCUUGAGAGAACUCGGGUGAAGGAACUAGGCAAAAUGGUGCCGUAACUUCGGGAGAAGG
rnacentral:rRNA from 1 species